rnacentral:rRNA from 1 species
GAUGAACGCUGGCGGCGUGCUUAAUACAUGCAAGUCGAACGAAGAGCUUUUGUAGCAAUACGAGAGCUUCUUAGUGGCGAACGGGUGCGUAACGCGUUGGUGACCUGCCCCGAAGUGUGGGAUAACAGUUCGAAAGGAUUGCUAAUACCGCAUGUGGUUUUCCGGAUUAGAGGCCGGAUCUCUAAAGCAGUAAUGCGCUUCGGGAGGGACCUGCGUCCCAUCAGCUAGUUGGUGAGGUAAUGGCCCACCAAGGCUUCGACGGGUAGGGGACCUGAGAGGGUGGUCCCCCACACUGGCACUGAAACACGGGCCAGACACCUACGGGUGGCUG